UUAAUAGAAGCCAAAACCAGAGGCUAUUCACUGUUAAUGAAUAAAUUGAUUUAUCCUAUUAAA
rnacentral:tRNA from 1 species